rnacentral:rRNA from 1 species
CUGCUGCCUCCCGUAGGAGUCUGGUCCGUGUCUCAGUACCAGUGUGGGGGACCUUCCUCUCAGAACCCCUACGCAUCGUCGCCACGGUGGGCCGUUACCCCGCCGUCUAGCUAAUGCGCCGCAUGCCCAUCCUCUUCCGAUGAAUCUUUCCUCGAUCUCGGAUGCCCGAAACCGAUAUACGCGGGAUUAGCCUCCCUUUCGGAAGGUUGUCCCCCUGAAGAAGGGGCAGGUUGCAUACGUGUUACUCACCCGUGCG